rnacentral:rRNA from 1 species
AUUCCAGCUCCAAUAGCGUAUAUUAAAGUUGUUGCAGUUAAAAAGCUCGUAGUUGAACUUCAGACCUGGCCGGGCGGUCUGCCUCACGGUAUGUACUGUCUGGCUGGGUCUUACCUCUUGGUGAGCCGGCAUGCCCUUUACUGGGUGUGUCGGGGAACCAGGACUUUUACCUUGAGAAAAUUAGAGUGUUCAAAGCAGGCCUAUGCCUGAAUACAUUAGCAUGGAAUAAUAAGAUAGGACUUUGGCGUCUAUUUUGUUGGUUUGCACACCAAGGUAAUGAUUAAUAGGGAUAGUUGGGGGUAUUCGUAUUUAAUUGUCAGAGGUGAAAUUCUUGGAUUUAUGAAAGACGAACUUCUGCGAAAGCAUUUACCAAAGAUGUUUUCAUCA